CAUGACAAUUCCUAGCACAGCAAUGCCAGUGAAGAGCAGGGCGACCAGCAGCAUGAGCACGGAUACUGCUGUGUUGCCCUUCGGCACCACCAGAGCGGAGAUCCAGCCACUGUAAAGGGAAGGAUGUGCCAGUGAAGAGGAGCUCCUCAGCUUCUCCACUGUUUAAUUCCAGUUUCUGAACCAUUAGCCCUGAGCUCUCCAAGCUCUUCCAGGCACUCAUCUGGGGAUUCUUCUUCCUCCUUUCAACCAUGGUUCUAUGCCUCCUCCAGGAGGCCACCUCAGAUUGGCCAAAUGCAGCAUUCUUCCCUUCAAUCUAUAUGUCUCAAGGGUGCUGUCUGCGCUCUAUCCUGGAAGUAUGUCUUGUAUCUCAUUAAACUAGUACCUCCCAAGGAUUAAAA